UACGGGGGGGGCAAGCGUUGUUCGGAAUUACUGGGCGUAAAGGGCUCGUAGGCGGCCAACUAAGUCAAACGUGAAAUCCCUCGGCUUAACCGGGGAACUGCGUCUGAUACUGGAUGGCUUGAGUUUGGGAGAGGGAUGCGGAAUUCCAGGUGUAGCGGUGAAAUUCGUAGAUAUGGGGAGGAACACCGGUGGCGAAGGCGACCAUCUGGACGGAUACUGACGCUGAGACGCGAAAGCGUGGGUAGCAAACAGG
rnacentral:rRNA from 1 species